rnacentral:lncRNA from 10 species
GUAUCCAGAGUUGACAUUACCUGUGUUAAGGCUCUUCGAUCAAGAACAUAACUAGGAAUCAUUCGAGGUGAUUCAAGGCCUGUUUUCCUCAGGUCUUGCUAAGCCUGUGACCUGUCAGCUAUGCUUAGGUAUCAUUUUAAAGAAAGUAUUGCCUAACCCAAGGAGCUGAGACUUGAGAUUUGAAUUCUGGCUCCCCACCGGUUAAGGAAAAGAGCUGAUAAAGACCUUUUGAGGCCCAGAGACAGGGGAAAGAAGAGGACAAAACUGGGGAAGAGGGACACCAAUGAGUUGUGUCUUCCCUCUGUCCACUCUCAGCACCUUCACUCUGAAGAUCUGUUAAAAGCACACGAGUCGUCUCAGUCCCUCAGUGGGAGCUGUUUCACCUGGCGUCAUCUAGUCAGCCAUCUUCAAUAAUAACUGUUAAAUGAACAUUUAUAUCCACUGAAACCACUAAGUGAAAUAAAGAUGUGUUUAGGCAAAGAACUGAGUUUAUGACUUAUAGAUCCUCACCAAGGAAACUUCCAAAAGAUGUACUU